rnacentral:rRNA from 1 species
CGUGAGGAACCUGCCUUUCAGAGGGGGACAACAGUUGGAAACGACUGCUAAUACCGCAUAACGCAUGGGUAUCGCAUGGUAUCUGUGCCAAAGAUUUAUCGCUGAGAGAUGGCCUCGCGUCUGAUUAGCUAGUUGGUGAGGUAACGGCCCACCAAGGCGACGAUCAGUAGCCGGACUGAGAGGUUGGCCGGCCACAUUGGGACUGAGAUACGGCCCAGACUCCUACGGAAGGCAGCAG